AGCGAACGCUGGCGGCAGGCCUAACACAUGCAAGUCGAACGAAGUCUUCGGACUUAGUGGCGGACGGGUGAGUAACACGUGGGAACGUGCCUUUAGGUUCGGAAUAACUCAGGGAAACUUGUGCUAAUACCGAAUGUGCCCUUCGGGGGAAAGAUUUAUCGCCUUUAGAGCGGCCCGCGUCUGAUUAGGUAGUUGGUGAGGUAAAGGCUCACCAAGGCGACGAUCAGUAGCUGGUCUGAGAGGAUGAUCAGCCACAUUGGGACUGAGACACGGCCCAAACUGCUGCGGGAGGCAGCAGUGGGGACUAUUGCGCAAUGGGCGAAAGGCUUACGCAGCCAUGCCGCGUGAAUGAUGAAGGUCUUAGGAUUGUAAAAUUCUUUCACCGGGGACGAUAAUGACGGUACCCGGAGAAGAAGCCCCGGCUAACUGCGUGCCAGCCGCCGCCGUAACAC
rnacentral:rRNA from 1 species